rnacentral:rRNA from 1 species
UACGGGGGGGGCAAGCGUUGUUCGGAAUUACUGGGCGUAAAGGGCGCGUAGGCGGCCUUCUAAGUCAGACGUGAAAUCCCCCGGCUUAACCUGGGAACUGCGUCUGAUACUGGGAGGCUUGAGUAUGGGAGAGGGAUGUAGAAUUCCAGGUGUAGCGGUGAAAUGCGUAGAUAUCUGGAGGAAUACCGGUGGCGAAGGCGGAUCUCUGGGCCUUACCUGACGCUCAGGUGCGAAAGCUAGGGGAGCGAACAGG